AGGUCGUGUAGUCGUGUCGCCUUAGUGCCAUGCAGUCCUCCUCAAGGCCUGUUUAAACGACUAAGGAGCUGGGGCGGCCUCGCUCAUACUGCACUCGGGGAGGUUUUCCCUCGGCCCGACAGACACUGCACGCGCGUGCACGGUACCAGCCCGCCCGGCCUCGCCUAGCUGCCUGGGAACGUUCCCUCAAGGUCGCCCGCCAGCCGGCCUAUAUCGGCUUCGGAUAAUUUCCCGUCGCGGAAUCCGUCGCUAUUAUCUCUCGACGCUUUGGGGUCGGCGUGGGCGCGCAGUCCCCUGCUGGAGUCCGGGACACGAGCUUUCGGUUCUGCGCUUGUGAUUUACGGAACACUCAGGCCCUUGAGUGCGUCCGGAAUAUUCCAAAUGGCGGCUGCCGCGGGAGGUUUCGUGAGAGAAUUUCUUCUUCCAGUGAUUUUGUGUCUCCGAAGUGGCUGCCAUCUGGACGGCGAGGCUUUCGUCCGGAAUCGGGCAAAGCGGUCGACGGAAUCUUUAUAUGCAAUUAUAUGCUGCCUGGUCUUGUUAUGUUUAUACAUGGCUUUGCUGACGCCAGGCGCCACGAUACCUUGCCUCACGUGCCCCCGAGGUUAAUCGGAGCAGCGCCAAGUUUAAACAAGCCCCGUGACACCUGGGGCGUUUGAUACGCUCGCUGGGGCGUGGAUAUUUACAUUGACUUUUGUUUAUUUGUUUAUGAUAUUUGUAAAUAUAUAUGUGGUGAUGGUUGAAACCUCUCUGUAUACCCACAUUUUAAUGAAAGCGAGAACAUAA